rnacentral:rRNA from 1 species
CUACGGGCCGCAGCAGUGAGGAAUAUUGCACAAUGGGGGGAACCCUGAUGCAGCAACGCCGCGUGGAGGAUGACGCAUUUCGGUGUGUAAACUCCUUUUAUAUGUCAAGAAAAUGACGGUAGCAUAUGAAUAAGCACCGGCUAACUCCGUGCCAGCAGCCGCGGUAAUACGGAGGGUGCAAGCGUUACUCGGAAUCACUGGGCGUAAAGGACGCGUAGGCGGGUUGGAAAGUCAGGUGUGAAAUCCUACAGCUUAACUGUAGAACUGCACUUGAAACUUCUAAUCUAGAGUAUGGGAGGGGGAGAUGGAAUUAGUGGUGUAGGGGUAAAAUCCGUAGAUAUCACUAGGAAUGCCUAAAGCGAAGGCGAUCUCCUGGAACAUUACUGACGCUAAGGCGUGAAAGCGUGGGGAGCAAACAGGAUUAGAUACCCGCGUAGUC